CACGUAUAAGAAGGACAGACAGAGUAAAAGAGUGUCAAAUAUUAUUAUUUAUUUUUUUUAUCGUGGACGAUUAAUUAUAACAGUAAGUGAUGAUAUACACUAUAAUUUUUUUCCUCUACUGAUAAAUUGUAUUUAAUUCAUAGAUUAUAUGUUAUAGCAACGUCGACGGUUUGUGUUAUUCAGUUGUAAAAAAGUAAUGCAAAUAUAGAUCGUCUUCUUUGUGUAAGGCUUAUUUUUUAAAUUAUUUUGAUUUAGCGAAAUAUAUAAUUGGAGCAAAAUUCAUUGAGAAAAAUGACAACACGAGAAGCAUAUAAAAGUGACCUGAUAUUAAAUGGUUAAGCAAGGAAAGUUGCUAUUAGUUGAGGUAGGAGAUUUUUAAUAUUGAACUCAGUUGUUCAGACAAUCGUUUUACAUAAUUUUUAAACGGCCUUAAAUAAAAAUUCACUUUAUGAUGCGGAUAUACAUAUUAAACGCAAACCUCACGGUCAACCGCUGUCAAAAGCGCUUCGGACGCAUGACAUUUGUAACGUGCUGUUUUCAUUUUUUAAUUGAAAAGUAUUUUUUGUACUGUCAUAAAUUAAUUUAUGAUUUUCGGUGUUUUGUCGAAAAUUGCUAUUAUAUUAUUUAUUGAUGUAAAAAAUAACCACAUGAUAUCUCAGAGUAGAAAUGUCUGGCGACAAUACACCGGCAGGCCCUCACGGUCAACCGCUGUCAAAAGCGCUUCGGACGCAUGGCAUUUGUAACGUGCUGUUUUCAUUUUUUAAUUGAAAAGUUUUUGUAUUCAUAAAUUAAUUUAUGAUUUUCGGUGUUUUGUCGACAAUUACUAUUAUAUUAUUUAUUGAUGUAUGUCUCGGUCCUGAGUUGUUGCAUUUAUUUGUACAAUUUUCCUGUCAUUUAAUGUUGUCGAUAAAGCGGGCGUUUUAUCAAUUGCCAUUUACCGUGAGGUUCAGGUUCAACGCACCAUUUUUUUUCUGCAAAUAUCACGUACAAAUCAGGAAUAAAGCAGUUGAUAACUAAUAGUUCGUUUCUAAGUAUGUUGUUGCAUUGACGUUUGUUUUUGUUGCACUUAAGUGUUUCUGUCGUUUCGUUAUUUUCCUCUUACAAGAUGUGUUUUCCCCCCGUUUUUAGUUUGUAAUCUCAAUUGAUUUAUGUUUUUUUUUAUUAGCGGUAUACUACUGCUGCCUUUGUUUAAGAAAACAAUUGUCGCAAUAAGACCACUGUGAACGAAACACAAGACUCAGUGUUUUUAUUUAUGUGUAGAUUUGAGCAUUCAUGACUUCGAUAAAUCUAGAAAAGCACCCUCCGGAUGCACGAAAAUAAAAAGCAGUCAUUUCAUUUAAGAUACAAAAAGGGGUUUGGUGGGUUAAAACAGUGACAAAAGCCUUAAUUGUUACAUGAUUAAACUAUUUUUAGAAUAGACGUCGACUGACACCAAAAUGAAAUUUGUAAUAGUCGCAGUUUUGGUCGCUCUGUGUCUUGCAGGUAAGUAAAGUAUAGUUACAUUUGAGUGUGAAUUCACAUCACUAUAAGACGUGUCACGGUACUUUUCUAUCCAAAAUUCAUGUAUUUAGUUCUGAUGUUAUAUUUGUUAUUCACAUCGGAUUUUGUUUAAUGCUUAGUUCGUUUCUGUGUUUUCUGUUCUUUUUAAUGUUGUGUCGUUGUUCUCUUAUAUGAAAUGCGUUUCCCUUAGUUUUAGUUUCGUUACCUGGAUUUGUUUUUUUACUAUGGAUUUACGAGUUUCGAACAGCGGUAUACUACUGUUGCCUUUAUUCUGACUAGAUUAUCAAUUGAUAAAAAGUAAAAUCACAAAAAUACUAAUGAGGAAAAUUCAAUCGGAAAGUCCCUAACCACAUGGCAAAAUCAAAUGACAAAACACAUCAAACGAAUGGACAACUGUCAAAUUCCUGACUUGAUAAAUUAAUUUUUAUUUUUUUUAAAUACAUAUAUAGGACGAAAGCCAAUAUACUAAAUAAGUACCAUUGCAAAAUAUGGGUGUUGGUAAGAAUCUUCCACUUUCAACAAGUCUAGACCAUCUAAGAAAGUUGUUGCAAGGUUAAUUUAAGGUUUUCAUUGUGGAACUGUACACAAGAAAUCACACCAACUGAACGUUAAGCUGCAUUUUUGUUAUCCUUAUUUUUUGACACAUUUAUAAUUUUUUCAAGUAAAGUUAAUCGAGAUAAAAAGCGGGAAAUUUAGACUGCCACUGGAAAUUAGGGUACGUUGGUUAGUGGCUGACAUUUUCUUAUGUCACAUGUUUAACAGAAGCCUCGAGGAGUUGUCACUAUGUUUAACGCUAAGAGUGUGUUACUUUUUGAGUUUGGGAUCCAUUUGGUUUAUUAAACCGAUCUUUUGCGUUCCAUAUACUGACUUACAAGGCUAAUUAUUUCAAUGUUAUGUCUUGUAUACUAUUCUUUGUGUUUUUCAUUGUCACCCAUAGCUUUGUCAGUUUAUUUUUGUUCUAGGAGUGUUACUGUCCCUCUGGUAUCUUCCGCCCCUCUUUCAUAUUUUUUGUUAUAACGCUAGUUGGAAUUUCAAGAUGAUAUUUUAAUUCUGAUAGUACCCUUUAACAAAUAGCUAUCAGAAGUACCACUUACAAUUUAAUACACCUGACGCGCGUCUCCAUAAGACUCAGUGACACGCUGAUCAAAAUAUUAAAACGCUAAAAAAAGUACAAAGUUGAAGAGCACUGAAGACUCAAAAUUCCAAAAUGUUGUACCAAAUACGGCUAAGGUUAUCUAUGCCUGGGAUAAGAAAAUCCUUAGUAUUUCGAAAAAUUCAUACUUUUAUCAACAGGAAAUUUUUAAAAAUUACCAUAUAAUUGAUAUUUAUGUUAACACCGAAUUACUGACAAACAAUGUCGUAAGUAAAUCUAUCUUUUUCGCUAUACCUUCAAAUUCUACGUCACUUGGCCUAAUGGUGUCGAUCGUGAAUCUUAAAUGGAUUGAUGACUGUUUUAAAUCUAACUUAAUUCAUAGAUGCCAACCCCCUUUUGACACAAUCAGUAACAAACUAUCAAAUUUUCCGUAUUUUUGAAAAGUUUUCAGUAAUCAUUCAUAAACGUGCAUUUACCAAUAAAAAUUACUGACGAGUGGUUGCAAAGUGAUGUACACUAAAAUUUGUCAUUUAACAUGUUGUCUGUAGUAUGUAUUCCAUUCAUUAAUUGUUCAAAUGUUCUCGACUCAAACAUUUUUGUUUUGUCAAGGAGAAGUAGAGAAAGCGGGAAAGCUACUUAUAAAAUGCAAGUUUGCCUCUUCGGAAGUCAGUUAGUUACCCAACAAUAGGUUGAUAACUCCCGAGAAACCGGAAGCAUUACAUUGGCGUUUCCUAAAUACUGGACCAGGACGGAAAAGUAAUGAUAAAAAUCCGCGUUUUACAAAAUUGAACGUCGAUGAUUGGGAAUCCGUAACUAUUCGACUUUGACAGUAAUAGCGUAGUUUUUAUCGCAAAAUCGGAAAAACUACGGAAAAAUCGUAAUGGUUGGCAUCUAUGUUAAUUGCAUAUUCAGAACGAGAAAAUGUUAUUAAAUACGAUAUAUACCAUCCUUUUAACCAGAUCGACGAGCUGAGUUGUAUUCAAUAAUUUUUUCACAUAUUUUAAAAAAGACGGGUUUUUUUUUACGUCCAGGUUCAAUAUGUGAUGUAUUCUCAGCUGGAUGAGAAAAAUUUAAAGCCUCGGUCACACCUUACCGGAUAUCACGAACGGACACCUAACGGAUGCAAAUAAAAGUGUCCAUUGACAAAAUUGUUAUCCGUUGGGAGUCCGUUGAUGUACUGACCAAAUGAAACGGACGUGUAACGGAUGCAUAACGUAUAUGGAUAUGCAACGUACGAGAAACGGACAAAUACCGGACAGAACGGAUGUCGAACGUACAUCCAACGGAAGAGUACCGCAUUAAACGGGCACCUAACGGCAGCGUACCGGAUAAAACGGAUGAACAAGAUAUACGGAAAAUCAAAGGCGACAAUAAUAAUACAUGUAAAUCGCAUGAAUAUUCAAAAUAUUUCUAUGUUACUGGUUUGUCUUCAAAUUUCCGCCAAAGGGCAGUGUCUGGCCUGAAUAAGAACUGCUUGAUUGUGAAGACGUGCGUAUACUCUUAGAUCGAUUAUGAAUAAUAAGAAUUCAUGAACCUUAAGAAAUCUGACAUACCAAUAAUUGGCAUUUCUGACGAGAAAUUUUCAAUUGGCAUUUAUCCGUUUCAGAUCCGUUUUAUCCGUUAUACGUCCAGUAGAAGUCCGUUUCUCAUCCGUUUUAUCCAUAUAACGUCCGGUAGAAGUCCGUUGGUGAAUUUAUCUUCUAGACUUCGAACGGAUGUAUAACGGACACGUAACGGAUACAAAACGGACAUUUUAUCCGUUGGACGUCCGUUCAAAGUUUUGAUCAUGCUCAAAAUUUUGCACCGGACAGAACGGACGUCGACGGAUAAAACGUACGCUUAACGGACAUACAACGGACGUCUAACGGACAUGAACGGAUUGAAAAAAGUUAUCCGUUAGGCGUCCGUUUGAGCUAUCCGGUAAGGUGUGACCGAGGCUUAACAAAUUUAACAAAAAUAAAGGUUCUUGGAUAGCCUUCGAACCGAAGUCUCGUCUUUGAACGGUCCACACACUGUUGUUUCAGAUUUUAUUUCAUCUUUCCAACUGGACAUGUAUACGUGUUUAGGAUGCAUAGCAGUACAACAUAUGCCUAAUUCAGGGUUUUAGACUUCUAAUACGUUCAGGUAUUUCACAUCCAAUUUUUUAUGGUAAUAUUCUUUAUAAAGCACAAAGGUGUCAGUAUUCACCUCAGAAACUUACAAAACCUUUGAAUAGACUUAUUAAGAAGGGAUAUAAUUACGAUACUGUUGUCAAGUCAUUAAAGAUUGCAUAUUUUGGCGUUAAUAUUGAGUCACUGAUAAGGUCUUUGCAUCGGAACUAAACACAUUAUUUUUUUAAAACAGUUGUUGGCAUGACACGGGUUAUGUUCUUCUCAUAUAUGUUAUGAUGGUAUGAUACUAAACCCCUAACGGGAAGGAUUGUGCCUGAUGUUCAUAUGAUGAAAUCAUAAUCUUUCAGUCAGUUUAAUUGAAGUCUGGAGCUGGCAUGUCAGUUAACUGCUAGUAGUCUGUUGUUAUAUAUGUAUUAUUGUCAUUUUGUUUAUUUUCUUUGGUUACAUCUUCUGACAUCAGACUCGGAUUUCUCUUGAACUGAAUUUUAAUGUGCGUAUUGUUAUGCGUUUACUUUACUACAUUGGUUAGAGGUAUAGGGGGAGGGUUGAGAUCUCACAAACAUGUUUAACCCCGCCGCAUUUUUGCGCCUGUCCCAAGUCAGGAGCCUCUGGCCUUUGUUAGUCUUGUAUUAUUUUAAUUUUAGUUUCUUGUGUACAAUUUGGAAAUUAGUAUGGCGUUCAUUAUCACUGGACUAGUAUAUAUUUGUUUAGGGGCCAGCUGAAGGACGCCUCCGGGUGCGGGAAUUUCUCGCUACAUUGGAGACCUGUUGGUGACCCUUUGCUGUUGUUUUUUAUUUGGUCUCUUUGACACAUUCCCCAUUUCCAUUCUCAAUUUUAUUUUAGUGACGGUCGGAAGGUUCUCGAUUAACCCUUAGGAUAGACAAUAAUAUCCCUGAAUUAUAAUAAUAAUUUUAUUUGCAAAAUACACUAAUGUGGGUUAAGAAAAAAAAACCCAAACAAAUAUAUAAAAUACAGAAAGUGAAGAACUGUAAAUUGUUAUCAAAGGUACCAGGAGUAUAAUUUAGUAAGCCAGACGCGCGUUUCGUCUACAUAAGACUCAUAAGUGACGCUCAUAUCAAAAUAUUCAUCAAACAAAACAAGUACAAAGUUGAAGAGCAUUGAGGAUCCAAAAUUACAAAAAGUGGUGCCAAAUACGGCUAAGGAAAUCCAUCCCUGGGAUAAGAAAAUCCUUAGUUUUUCGAAAAAAUUAAAAGUUUUGUCAACAGGAAAUUUAUAAAAUUGACCACAUUAUUGAUAUUCAUGUGAAAACCGAAGUGUUGACUACUGGGUUUAAAAUUUUUGCUGUUGAUUUACCCUUUUUUUUAAUGAUUAAUUAAACAUUUUAAAACAUUAUUUUGAUUUCAUAGGUCAAAGUGCCGGGAAACACCAAACAACUUGUGACAAGACGAUAGCUAUCCAUCCUUGCGUAUAUCAGAAUUGUCACCGUGCAUGCGCUAGCUGUCAUUGUAAUGGUGUCCAUAAAUGUCUCGACUGGCACACAUGUUGCUGUUCAUGCACUGGAUAUCGCGGAAAAUAAAUAAUUACUAAAGUCCAUAACAGUUUAAAGAACACUAAUGGGUUGUUAACAUACCCAAAUAAAACUGGAAUAAAAUAUCAAUUACAAAUCAAAA
rnacentral:lncRNA from 1 species